CUUUCAGGCAAACAGUCAGUUAAACGCAAGUAUUUCUACAUCAAGCAAUGUAGAGAACAAGGGAGUAAAUCGCAAUAUCAUCUUCGACAGUAAAUGUAACCCUGGAUACAUACUUCUAAAUGGAAAGUGCAGACCAACAUUCCGGACUAAACGCUAAGCAAAAUAAUACAUAUAUACUGGGCAUCAAUAAAAAAUGGACUAAUUAUACGUGUAUAAAAAAUAUUGUAACAAUAGUAAAUGUGAAACUAAAAGAAUUUCGGACUUC